GAUGAACGCUGGCGGCGCGCCUAACACAUGCAAGUCGAACGGCGUGGCGAACGGCUGAGUAACACGUGGGCAACCUGCCCUCCUCUUGGGGAUAGCCUCGGGAAAACGGGAUAAUACCCGACAGAGAAGGAUGGCCCGCGGCCUGUUAGCUUGUUGGUGGGGUAGAGGCCUACCAAGGCAAUGAUGGGUAGCUGGGUUGAGAGACCGACCAGCCAGAGUGGGACGCAGACACGGCCCAGACGCCUACGGGAGGCAGCAGUGGGGAAUCUUGCACAAUGGGCGAAAGCCGGAUGGAGCGACGCCGCGGUCGGGACGAAGGCCUUCGAGUUGUAAACCGCUUUCAGCAGGGACGCGGUACCUGCAGAAGAAGCCCCGGCUAACUACGUGCCAGCAGCCGCGGUAAUAC
rnacentral:rRNA from 1 species